UAGAUUGCACAGUACCUAGGUUAUAGA
rnacentral:sRNA from 1 species